rnacentral:rRNA from 1 species
AACGAACGCUGGCGGCAGGCUUAACACAUGCAAGUCGAACGCAUCCUUCGGGGUGAGUGGCAGACGGGUGAGUAACGCGUGGGAACGUGCCCUUCAGUUCGGGAUAACCCAGGGAAACUUGGGCUAAUACCGGAUACGUGCGAGAGCAGAAAGAUUUAUCGCUGAAGGAUCGGCCCGCGUCUGAUUAGCUAGUGGGUGGGGUAAUGGCCCACCAAGGCGACGAUCAGUAGCUGGUCUGAGAGGAUGAUCAGCCACAUUGGGACUGAGACACGGACCAAACUCCUACGGGAGGCAGCAGUGGGGAAUAUUGGACAAUGGGCGCAAGCCUGAUCCAGCCAUGCCGCGUGAGUGAUGAAGGCCUUAGGGUUGUAAAGCUCUUUCGUCCGGGACGAUAAUGACGGUACCGGAAGAAGAAGCCCCGGCUAACUUCGUGCCAGCCGCCGCAGUAA